rnacentral:rRNA from 1 species
CGAGCGAGACCCACGCCCACAGUUGCCAGCGUACUCUCUGGAGUGACGGGUACGACUGUGGGGACCGCCGCUGCUAAAGCGGAGGAAGGAAUGGGCAACGGUAGGUCAGUAUGCCCCGAAUAUCCCGGGCUACACGCGAGCUACAAUGGUUGGUACAAUGGGUAUCUACCCCGAAAGGGGACGGGAAUCCCCUAAAACCAAUCUUAGUUCGGAUUGAGGGCUGCAACUCGCCCUCAUGAAGCUGGAAUCCGUAGUAAUCGCGUUUCAACAGAACGCGGUGAAUACGUCCCUGCUCCCUU